CAGGAAGUAGAUGGCCUUCACAGGGUUAAACUGCCUCAUGGAUUCUGUCGCCUGGGCGCUCAGCCCCCUGCACCAUUCUGUUUUCUCAAGGUUCUUGGUAUGGAUGGCCGGCCGGCAGUGCUCCUCCGACAUGAAUAAAUGCUGCCUGCCACAGCUGGGUUCUGGCUCUCCCCGUUGAAAUGAGGAGCCUCCCAUUACUCAGUCAGCCAUACCCACUUCCUGCUUCAGAGCCUCCGUUUCGUGGAAAUAACCUGUCAGGUCCCAUCUGCUUCAUGAAGCUGCCAGUCCCCCGAGAGGAGGACCUCCACUCUGCUCUCCUGUCACAUGCUGGAAACCCAGAAGGGAAUAAACCUUCCAGUCUGCCAGAAAUUGCUUUUGUGAUACCAAGGCCUGCCUCGGGGAAGCACAAUAUUCUAUACUCAGAUGAAAAUUAGAUUUUUCUCACUCUGGAAGAGUUAUACCUACCUUUGAAGAUUCCCACAGUCUUGAAGGAUCAUUGCUUUGUUCCAGAAAGCAGUUUUCGUCUUUUUGUGACAAUACAUUUGGGAAAGGCUUCUGACUUCGCUGACAGAGUACUGGCUGAAUCUGAAUUUAAAUACACCCAGUAGAAUGGUGGAAACAAAUAGUAAUGCCCUUUUCUGAUGCAACAUUUACCCUAUCCAGCACAGGAGCUUGAGAUGACUUCUAACCCACAGAGAUUAUUUUUAUUUCAUUUUUAAAUAAAAAUGUUAUCAUG